GCCCUCAUAGUUUAAUGGAUAAAACAAGUCCCUCCUAAGGACUAGAUUUAGGUUCGAUUCCUGAUGAGGGCA
rnacentral:tRNA from 1 species